CUGUCCUGCCCUUCCUGGGAGUGUUUCUAGCCUGUUACUGGAGAAGUCGGAGCCUGGAGCACAGGAAACCACGAGGAGGGACCCCUGUGCCCUCCCAGAAGGAAGCUGGUCCUAGUGCAGCUUCACACAGCUGCUCGGCCAUCCGUGUCCUUCUCUCUGCCAGGAGAGCCAGGGGAAGGCGCCAUCUGAGUGGU
rnacentral:snoRNA from 1 species